AUUCGAGCGGAUCACAACUUAACACAGCUGAAGGACUUCUCCACGCUGCUUUCAAACUUCGCCAGCUGACAUGUGAACCAAACCCCAGCAUAUUCCUCCAGGAUGCUGCAGCAGAUGACUGACCUCCAUAUGACGAGACUGGAGAAGAGGGCUUUGAUCAUCGUCCAGACCAUCAUUUUCAAGUAUGGAUCACCGUCUCCAAGGAACUGCAGCAGAGCCAGGUCAAUAAGACGUUUCCAGCGGGAGUCCUUCUGCAGAGCGAUGCCGUAUCCUGUGGUGGCAAAUACUUUCCCGCUGCCGAUGGUCACCAGCUUGCAGCCCUCGUCCUUCCCGGCCAUGUAGUUCAAAACGGCAGCGUCGUAGAUGAAAGCGUCCAGUUUCCUGCAUCACAAUAAAGCGUCUUUAUCUGAGAAAAGGUUUAGGUCCUAAAAAGUGUAAUAGUUUCUUACACACAUGUUAGACUUGUAUGUCUGUCCUAAAGAAGUCUUCAGUAUUAGUGGUUUUAUACUCAAACCGUUCAAUACAAAUGGUGUAUACCUAUGCUCUGGGGACCAUGAAUGUGAGAGGUUUUACUGAGUGUACAAAAUGUUUAAUGCUCAAUAUGGUUAAAAUAACUUCAAAUGUUUUCAACUGGUUAUAAGUGAAGAUUUAAUGUUUGACAGCUCUUUUUUUUAUACAAAGUAAACUGCACUAGGCUUGAUUUGUUUUCAUCUAAAAAUACACCCAUCAAAUCGGCCUGUUCACAAAUAAA